CGGGUGAGUAACACGUGAGCAACCUGCCUUUCAGUGGGGGACAACAGUUGGAAACGACUGCUAAUACCGCAUAACGUGCCGGAAGGGCAUCCUUUUGGUACCAAAGAUUUAUCGCUGAAAGAUGGGCUCGCGUCUGAUUAGAUAGUUGGUGAGGUAACGGCCCACCAAGUCGACGAUCAGUAGCCGGACUGAGAGGUUGAUCGGCCACAUUGGGACUGAGACACGGCCCAGACUCCUACGGAAGGCAGCAG
rnacentral:rRNA from 1 species